GACAGCAGCAGCCACGGGAAUACGGAGGGGGCUAGCGUUGUUCGGAAUUACUGGGCGUAAAGCGCACGUAGGCGGCUUGGUAAGUUAGAGGUGAAAGCCUGGAGCUCAACUCCAGAAUUGCCUUUAAGACUGCCGAGCUAGCAGGUGAGAGAGGUAAGUGGAAUUCCGAGUGUAAAGGUGAAAUUCGUAGAUAUUCGGAAGAACACCAGUGGCGAAGGCGGCUUACUGGCUCAUACUGGACGCUGAGGUGCGAAAGCGUGGGGAGCAAACAGGAUUAGAUACCCCGGUAGUCCCUGUCUCUUAUAC
rnacentral:rRNA from 1 species